ensembl:ncRNA K02A2.9 ncRNA
AGAUUCAACGACUCCGUUUGUGGCAACUGCUGAUAAUGAGAUUGAGGUCAAAAGAGUCUGAAAAAUCGAAACUUCGGGAAAAUUU